rnacentral:rRNA from 1 species
CAUGCAGUCGGACGGGAUUUUCUCUUUCGGGAGAGAUGAGAGUGGCGCACGGGUGCGUAACGCGUAUGCAACCUACCCGGAACAGGGGGAUAGCCCGUGGAAACGCGGAUUAAUACCCCAUUGCAACAUAGUGGUGCAUGCCACUGUGUUUAAAGGCUUUGGCCGGUUUUGGAUGGGCAUGCGUAGGAUUAGUUUGUUGGUAAGGUAACGGCUUACCAAGACUGCGAUCCUUAGGGGUUCUGAGAGGAAGGUCCCCCACACUGGCACUGAGAUACGGGCCAGACUCCUACGGGAGGCAGCAGUAGGGAAUAUUGGGCAAUGGGCGGAAGCCUGACCCAGCCAUGCCGCGUGCAGGAAGACGGCGUUAUGCGUUGUAAACUGCUUUUAUCCGGGAAGAAAAAGGUCCUGCGGGGCAGAUUGACGGUACCGGAUGAAUAAGCACCGGCUAACUCCGUGCCAGCAGCCGCGGUAAUACGGAGGGUGCAAGCGUUGUCCGGAUUUAUUGGGUUUAAAGGGUGCGUAGGCGGCCUGUUAAGUCAGCGGUGAAAGUUUCCGGCUCAACCGGGGGACUGCCGAUGAUACUGUCUGGCUUGAGUGUUGAUGGGGUACAUGGAAUUUAUGGUGUAGCGGUGAAAUGCAUAGAUACCAUAAAGAACACCGAUAGCGAAAGCAUUGUACUUAUCAACAACUGACGCUGAGGCACGAAAGCGUGGUAGCGAACAGAUUAG